GAGUCGGAACCUUCCGGGACGCUGGUGCCUAAAAACUGGAUUUUAAUCACCAUCCUGGUUGCCCAUCUCUGUCCCUUUUCUCAUUUGGUAACUAGUCGAGAGAAGCGCUUGGCACCAGCGCUCUGCGGGACCCAAGCUCCCGGCUGCUAGGGACCCGAGUGUCCGCUGCUGCGGAAGGAGCGGAGGGGAGGACGCCAGCGGAUGCUUACUGGAGCCUGGAGGAAAAUGAAGACGUCAUUCACUAGAAACAGUUGAAGUUGCCAGAACCAUUGGUUGACAGAGGGACAAGACGCAAGGGAAUUUGCAAUGUCGUGUUUCUGAAUGCCAUGCACAAGACCUCCAAAUAAGGUAU